CGUGGGUUUCAGACCAUGCUCCCGAAACCCCUGGACACUCAAGAGGGCCGGGCGCCCCAGCCAACGGCCCUGCCCGCACGCCCGCGGUCGCCGGCGAGAGGACGGGCCGCGCGGCCACAAACUGACGCCGUUCCUCGGCCCCACCCCACGCUGCGGCCGACGACAGGCGCGCACACUCCCGCCCCGCCGCGGGCGUCCGGCAGGCAUGCUUGCCUGAGGCGCGCACGCCGGCUGCGGAGUGCCGCCCCGCCCACCUGCCCACGCUGCGGCCCUGAUCGGACAGAGCGGUGCGGGUCACAUGGCUGAGCAAAGCGAGCUUCCGCCGGGAGCGGGAACUUGUCCCCGUUGGGGACGUUUGCUUUUUAUCAUUUCUUUCUACUUCUUCGUGUGUUUUUAGUGCGGAAGGCUGUCGCUGAGCUAACGUCCGUGCCCAUCUUCCUCUGUUUUGUAGGUGGGUCUCCGCCACAGCGUGGCUCAGUGAGCGCCGCUAGCUCCCCUGACCGGAACCGUGAACCGGCCGAGGCGGAGUGCGCGGACUUCGCCACUCGGCCGCCGCCCGGAGGACCCUGCUUUUUAUUUUUUAACUUUUUAAAAAUGUAUUUGUGCAGGAAGAUCGCCCUGAGCUCAGAGCCGUGCGAGGCCCCCUCUGGGCCGGGGCCGCUGGGCGAGGCCGCUGCUCUCGCGAGGCUGGCUCGUGGCGGCGCCUGGAGUGGGCGCGCCGGGCGCGCGGGCCGCUUGCCGUCAGGUUGUGGAGGGCGGGCCGCCCGGAUCAGGCCGGCCGAGGCGAGCGGGUCUGCGGCCUGCCCUGCGGGCUGGGCCGGCGCCCUUGUGUGCAGACGCGCGAGCGGCGCCCUGGCCGCCGGCGACAGAGCCCGGCUCCGGUGUGAUCCUGGGCGGCGGCGCGGAGGCUCCCGCCUCGUCCCCUCGGCAGCUGCGGUGCUGCGCCGGGGCACCUGCCGGGGCAGACCGGACGGCGGCCCCUCGCCCCGCCCCGAGCUGGGAGCCGCGCUCGGGAAGACUCCCAGGGAGACGUGCUGCGCCAGGAGGAGCUUUGUUCUAGGGAGCCUUCUGGAAGAUUAGCCCUGAGCUAACUUCUGCUGCCAAUCCUCCUCUUUUUGCUGAGGAAGACUGGCCCUGAGCUAACAUCCAUGCCCAUCUUCCUCUACUUUAUAUGUGGGACACCUGCCAUAGCAUGACUCGCCAAGUGGUGCCAUGUCCACAUCAGGGAUCUGAACCAGCGAACCUCAGGCCGCCAAAGUGGAACAUGCGAACUUAACCACGGUGCCACCAGGCUGGCCCCAAUACAGAUUUCUAUUACAUCCAGUUGAUUGAUGCUGUUGUUGAGUUCAACUACGUCAUUACAUAACCAUAUUUUACUACAACAAAAAUUCUCCACUAAUGUGAAAUGUUAGGUCAAGUUUCUGUACAAAAGUGAGUGUGGUAGGCAGAAUUCUACAACAGCCCCUUGAUCUCUGCUUGCUUUUGUUACACCCUUCAUCAUCCUCUCCCCUUGACAUUGGCCAGAUUGUGACUUGUUCUAGACAAUUGAAUAUGGUAAAGGUGAUGCAAUGGCACUCCAGUGAUGAGAUUUCCUUAUAUAAGAAAUGAAUUAAAUAUAUCUUUUCUCUUUUCUUGUAUUUCCUUUUGCAAGGAAGUGCUUUAGAAUAUCUGACCAUUCAGAUGAAAUUUUCCCCACCAACCUAUAGGCCAAGAGUCUAUGGCCUAUUAUCCAUCAUCAAAUAUAAUCAUUUAUUGUUGUUUUGUGUCUCCAGGUGAAAUAUUAUACUUAAAAUGUUAUAAUAUUUCAUGUAAAAUCUUCAGUGGUUGUAGAAACCUAGCAUUUUGAGCAUAAAAUAUUCUAUAUCUGCUUAUUAUGGUAUUAAGAAAUUAUUUGUAUUUUAUUACAUGUGAUAAUGGUAUUUUCAUUAUUUUUUCUGUUCAUCUGUUAGAUAUAGGUAGUAAAACUUCUACUAACUUAAUUAUAUAAUAUCUUAUCUUUAAUUUAAAAUACCACAAGAGGAUAUUUGGAGUUGAUAAUGAUAUCAAACCUGAAGUGAGUUUGCUCACCCCUGGCACAGCAAGCCAAUCUCUGACACGGGGUGUAGUGGAAGAAAGUGGGAAUUUUAUUAUUGUACAGCACUGAGCAAGGAGAGAGGGCAGCUAAUGCUGAAAUCCCAAACUCCUCGAGAAGCUGAAAGGAAGGAUUUUUAUUUGGGGGUUUACGUAGGGGAGGAGGAGCACAUGGCCUUGCUGGUCGGGGCUUUCCCACCAGCCUGUCUUUGGCCUUGAGACACUUGCAGAGAGGAGAGAGCCCGUGACCUUGCUGGUCAGCAGCUUUCCCACCAGCCUGUAUCUCUUUGCGAGGAGGAGAUAAUGAAUCCAGGUGCUUGUCCUUGGUGGUGUCUGUCUCUGUGGAGGAUGGUGGAUUCUGGAGCCAGGAAGCCAGGGAGUAAGCAGGGAAUUAGUGUUUUGGUUUUAACCCCAUAUAUGCUGGAUUUAAUGUAGGGAAACUGGUAUCAGGGUCAGUAUCAAUGUCAUCUGCAAUAAAAUACAGAUCUGCUUCUUCUUUUCCAGUUUGGAGGAUUUUCUUUGUUUUUCUUGUGUGAUUUCUGUAGCUAAUACCUCCAGUACAAUGUUGAAUAGAGUGGUACAACUGGAAAUUCUUGUCUUGUUCCCAAACUUACAGAGCCUCCAGCUGGAUAACCCCAUGAGGCCUGAACUAAAUGAAAUCACCUGUGAGAGGUGGUAGAGGCUGGUGCUUUUGCAGAAAGCAAGGCCAAGAAGAGAAGGACUGUGAUUGGGGAGGAUGCUG
ensembl:lncRNA